GGUGAUCCAGGGCCAGGAGAUGGAGCCUUGCGAACGAGCGCGGGACAGCACGGCGUGCGCCUACUCCUCCUACUACAACACGGAGGGCCUCAGCCCCAGCAAGAAGGGCACACGCGAGGACCUCACCAUCAUCAUGAAGGUGGAUGGCUCUGGUGAACUCUCAACAUGCCUACAGAUAAAACUGUACAAAGCCCAUGACAUACAGCACUGUGAAUGGGGCAGCCGCCUACACUGUAUAGAACUGGAUUGCACAUCAACUGAAGGUCCUGAAGGAGUGCGUGUCAACCGUGAGACGUACAGGCAAGUGUCCACAGAUUCAAGCACCUACCUGAGCAACGUGACGACUGGAUACAGAUCAACUGCCCACUUUUAACAAGGAUCAAGACAGGAAUUUGGAUGGUUCUCUAACCAAGGUCAUGACCAUCAUUUGCCCGCAGAAAUAAAUCAGCACAGAAAACAUGACUGAGGAUAUUUUUACCUGGAUUUAAAGGAAACUGGGUCUUGACAGUUAACUUCAUUGCCCACAAGAAGUUAUCAAUGUGGCUAUACAAAACAUUAUCAAAAACAAACCCCAUAAUCUUGAACUCAUUGGUAAAUGACUAUGCUUUAUAAAAAUAAAGAGGCAAAUUAAUAUGAUAACAUCUAUGCAAAAAAUAUGGUAUUUUAUUUGAAAUACUUAUUCAAAUAGCAUCCACUGACAAAGCAUGCCAUCCAUAUGGACAGUGAAAUGUGAUGAAUAAUGAAUCUGAGCUGUAUAUGUGGCAAAAAUGAUACCAAACAGAAAUGUCUCUACUAGGGAGACAAAUAUAUAAAAAGCACAAGUUCUUAAAAUGAAGUUUCAGUCAUUAAACAGUCUGAAUUACCUCAUAUUGAGGUAAUUUUCAGCAGCCAUGUCAAUUUUACCUGCAUUUUUAUAAAUGCUUUCAGUCUGCUUAAGGUGCCUAAUUUGCAAACGGAAAUUAAUAAACUAUACCAUAUUCUUAAUUUGUAUCUGUUAACGUAUCUUAUUGCAUAAUAUUUACCUGCCCACGCAAAGAUAAAUGCUCUUGUCAUUCUGAAGAUUCAGCAUUUCACAAGAAAGUAAAAGUUCUUUUUUACUAUUGAGUAAUAAACUGAAUAAAAAUAUUUUCAGAUGAUGUCAGAAAUUCUAUUAUUCGGUCUCUAUAUAAAAGAAUAAUAUAGCUAUCUCCCUUUUUUCUUGUUUAGUUCAAUUGAUUGCAGUGCUCUAGAAUUUCUUGUAUUUAUAUCUCUAUUCUGUAAUCUCAGUAAACUGCAUUGGAUUCUCAAUAAACUGCAUUGUAUCUUCCACUUUCCCUUAUUUUCAUUAUCUGUGGUUCUUUCUAUUAUCAGUCUAGAUCAGCAUAAUUUGAGACCUAAAAUGAAAUGGAUUUUGGCCUAAUGUUUCUCUCGUGCAUGAAUCAUCAGCAUAUGAAUGCUUUUGGUUUGAACUCCUGUAUGUCACAUCAUCACUGAAUGCUAAAUAAAGAUGUUAUCUCAUAGAGAAAACAAUCAGGUCUAUUAGUGCCUACUCUUGAAAACAAAUGCAGGAUCUUGCAGUUCAUCAAAUCACCCAGAGCAAUGAUUUGUUUGGCAACUCCUUGCAGUGUUAACAAAUCAUAUCAACCAAACCCAAUUCAGUAAGACUGAUUUGUGGAUUAGGCAGUCUGAAACCAAUAGUCCAUCUCUCUUUAUAUCUAUUUCUGCAUUAUUAUCAAGAAAACAUUACUCAUUAAAAUGUGACAGGAGCUGAAAUUUCAUCAGAUGAACAUAAACUUUGCCCAUGAAACAUAUCAAUGUAAUUAAUGUAUCAGGAAAGAUCAAGUAAUUUUUUCUCCUUUUUGUAGGGUCAUCAUCAUCAUCAUCAUCAUCAUCAUCAUCGCUUUGCUUUGCAUUUUACUUACAUCACAUAAACAAUCUGCCUUAUUCUGCUUACAAAUGGGAACAACUUUCUGCCUUUCAAUCUGAAAUGAGUAAUUCAAAUGGCAAUAUAAAGUAGGUAUUUAGUGGACCGUUUUAACCAGCUGAUAAAUGUAGCUUGCAUUGCAAUGUUACAUCUUAAACUAAACCAUUUAUACAAGGCAGUUAAUAACAUUUAUAAUACAAUGCUAUAUGGUUAUUUUUGUCUAAGAUUGCAGGAGAGUAGUGCUGUUGUAGAAAUGUACUAAAAAUAUUACUUAGACACUGAAUAUUAAAAUAUUAGGUAUAUUUUUAAAUAAAAUUAUUUUCAAAGUUAUACUAAUUCAAAGCUAAAAUAAUACAUUUAGAAGUAUAUACAUUUAGUGGUUUUGCAAAUUGUAUGAAUGACUUUGACACCAAAAGUCAAUAGCUCAUUGUAAAAAAUUAUAUUAUAUAUUAAUUUUAUGAGAUGCUCAACUUAAUAUGUAGUCUUUAAAGAAUAUACUUAGUGUUACUACUAGUGGUAAUGCGACUCUUUCUCAAGUAAGAGAAAGAAAAUGGCUUCUUUGUCUACUCUGGAUAUGAAGCAGCAAUGAUAUCACGACAUGUUUGGACUUCUUCACUUAUGAGAAAAUGUACUGAACUAAAAAAGACAACAAUGUCUGAAUCAAAGCAUACAUGGCACAGUUGUACGCUAUUUGCUGAAAGUCCUUUUGAAAUUUAUAUUUGUCCAUUUGGAUAUAAACGCAAUAAACAAUUUGUGCCUCAUCACCAUGUGUACUGUGGCACCAUGGUAUCGUCUAGAAGCUGUAUUUUAUGUAAUAUAUCCAGAAAUUCUGUUUUUAUUGUUACUAUUAUUAUUUUAUUAUUAACUAUAUUUCAGUUCUUGCUGUACACAUGGAGACAACAGGUUUAUGUGAAGAACUGUCUUUUUGAGUACUCAAGAGAGCACUAGUUGACCGUAAGGUUUUUUGUGAAUCAAUUAAUAAUAUAAUAAAUUUUAAAAAAUCUGUUUAACGUUAGUGGUUCUGUUAUAAUUGUUAAAUGAACAAGCAAUGAGCAGAACUUUCCAGAUGCAUUACCUAUGGCUAGUAUUUUUCCUGCUGCAUGUACUGUAUAACCUUGUUGAAUACAAUUGCAUAAAUAAAAUACAGACUU